rnacentral:rRNA from 1 species
GACGAACGCUGGCGGCGUGCUUAACACAUGCAAGUCGAACGGAAAGGCCCUGCUUUUGUGGGGUGCUCGAGUGGCGAACGGGUGAGUAACACGUGAGUAACCUGCCCUUGACUUUGGGAUAACUUCAGGAAACUGGGGCUAAUACCGGAUAGGAGCUCCUGCUGCAUGGUGGGGGUUGGAAAGUUUCGGCGGUUGGGGAUGGACUCGCGGCUUAUCAGCUUGUUGGUGGGGUAGUGGCUUACCAAGGCUUUGACGGGUAGCCGGCCUGAGAGGGUGACCGGCAGAGGGGGGCGAGGGAUGCGGCCCUAAGUGUGGCGGGGGGAGGCGGGGGGGAAGAUCGACGGGUGUGGGGAAGCGGGACGCAGCACGGGGGCGGGCGGGCGGCCGGCCUGCGGCUGGUAACCCGGUGUCGGCUGUGAAGAGGCGGGCGUGAGGGUAAUGGAUAACGACGCACCGGCUAACACCGUGACAGCCGCUUGGGUAAUCAUCGGACGGGAACACGGCUGAAC